rnacentral:rRNA from 1 species
GAUGAACGCUAGCGGGAGGCUUAACACAUGCAAGUCGAGGGGUAUAGUAGCAAUACUAGAGACCGGCGGACGGGUGCGUAACGCGUAUGCAACUUGCCUUAUACAGGGGGAUAGCCCGUGGAAACGCGGAUUAAUACCCCAUAUGUCAUUUGGGUCGCAUGGUCUGGAUGAUAAAACUGAGGUGGUAUAAGAUGGGCAUGCGUCUGAUUAGCUUGUUGGUAAGGUAACGGCUUACCAAGGCGACGAUCAGUAGCUGGUCUGAGAGGACGACCAGCCACACUGGGACUGAGACACGGCCCAGACUCCUACGGGAGGCAG